rnacentral:rRNA from 1 species
AUUGAACGCUGGCGGCAUGCUUUACACAUGCAAGUCGAACGGUAACAGGCCUUCGGGUGCUGACGAGUGGCGAACGGGUGAGUAAUGCAUCGGAACGUACCCAGAGGUGGGGGAUAACGCAGCGAAAGCUGUGCUAAUACCGCAUGUGAUCUGAGGAUGAAAGCGGGGGACCGAGCAGCAAUGUUUGGCCUCGCGCCUUUCGAGCGGCCGAUGUCGGAUUAGCUAGUUGGUGGGGUAAAGGCCUACCAAGGCGACGAUCCGUAGCUGGUCUGAGAGGACGACCAGCCACACUGGGACUGAGACACGGCCCAGACUCCUACGGGAGGCAGCAGUGGGGAAUUUUGGACAAUGGGCGCAAGCCUGAUCCAGCAAUGCCGCGUGCGGGAAGAAGGCCUUCGGGUUGUAAACCGCUUUUGGCAGGAACGAAACGGUGUCCGCUAAUACCGGGCGCUAAUGACGGUACCUGCAGAAUAAGCACCGGCUAACUACGUG